CGAGGAGGUAGGGCUUACGCUUGCGUUUGUCUGUUAUAUCUUGGUGGACGAGUUGUCGCGGUUGGGACUGAGGUGCCUACAACGUGCUUUUGAGUGAGUUUGUGUCUCCGUGUGCGCCGUGUGCGGAUAGCUUGCUAUGUAUGUGCGGUUGUGUGUGGAUUGAUGCGGGCCUUAACUUGUUGCCGUUCGGGACGUUGGCGAAAUGGAGCGAUCCGACCCGUCUUGAAACACGGACCAAGGAGUCUAACAUAUGUGCAAGUGUUAGGGUGUGGAAACCCCAGCGCGUAAUGAAAGUAAAGGGCAGCGCAAGUUGUCUGAGGUAGGAAACGUUGUGGACUUCGGUCUGCGGCGUGGCACUAUCGACCGAUCAUGAACCUUCGUGGUGAAAGAUUUGAGUUUGAGCACAUAUGUUGGUACCCGAAAGAUGGUGAACUAUGCCUGAGUAGGGUGAAGCCAGGGGAAACUCUGGUGGAAGCUCGUAGCGAUUCUGACGUGCAAAUCGAUCGUCGAACUUGGGUAUAGGGGCGAAAGACUAAUCGAACCAUCUAGUAGCUGGUUCCCUCCGAAAUUUCCCUCAGGAUAGCAGCAACUUAUUUACGAUAGUUUUAUGAGGUAAAGCGAAUGAUUAGAGGAUUCGGGGAAGAAACUUCCUCGACCUAUUCUCAAACUUUAAAUCUGUAAGACCUGCAGGUUUCUUAAU
rnacentral:rRNA from 1 species